rnacentral:rRNA from 1 species
CAGUAGCCGCGGUAAUACGUAGGGCGCGAGCGUUACCCGGAUUUACUGGGCGUAAAGGGCGUGUAGGCGGCCUGGGGCGUCCCAUGUGAAAGGCCACGGCUCAACUGUGGAGGAGCGUGGGAUACGCUCAGGCUAGAGGGUGGGAGAGGGUGGUGGAAUUCCCGGAGUAGCGGUGAAAUGCGCAGAUACCGGGAGGAACGCCGAUGGCGAAGGCAGCCACCUGGUCCACUUCUGACGCUGAGGCGCGAAAGCGUGGGGAGCAAACCGGAUUAGAUACCCGCGUAGUCCCUGUCUCUUAUAC